GAACGAAGCACUUAACUUGAUCUUCUUCGGAAGUAAUUGUUUUGUGACUGAGUGGCGGACGGGUGAGUAACGCGUGGGUAACCUGCCUCGCACAGGGGGACAACAGCUGGAAACGGCUGCUAAUACCGCAUAAGCGCACAGCUUCGCAUGAAGCAGUGUGAAAAACUCCGGUGGUGUGAGAUGGACCCGCGUCUGAUUAGGUAGUUGGUGAGGUAACGGCCCACCAAGCCGACGAUCAGUAGCCGACCUGAGAGGGUGACCGGCCACAUUGGGACUGAGACACGGCCCAAACUCCUGCGGGAGGCAGCAGUGGGGAAUAUUGCACAAUGGGCGAAAGCCUGAUGCAGCGACGCCGCGUGAGCGAAGAAGUAUUUCGGUAUGUAAAGCUCUAUCAGCAGGGAAGAAAAUGACGGUACCUGACUAAGAAGCUCCGGCUAAAUACGUGCCAGCAGCCGCGGUAAUACGUAUGGAGCAAGCGUUAUCCGGAUUUACUGGGUGUAAAGGGAGCGUAGGCGGCAGGGCAAGUCUGAUGUGAAAACCCAGGGCUCAACCUUGGGACUGCAUUGGAAACUGUUCGGCUGGAGUGUCGGAGAGGCAAGCGGAAUUCCUAGUGUAGCGGUGAAAUGCGUAGAUAUUAGGAAGAACACCAGUGGCGAAGGCGGCUUGCUGGACGAUGACUGGCGCUGAGGCUCGAAAGCGUGGGGAGCAAA
rnacentral:rRNA from 1 species